AGCUCAGUUGGUUAGAGCAUCUGACUGUUAAUCAGAGGGUCCAAAGUUCGAGUCUUUGAGGAG
rnacentral:tRNA from 1 species